AGUGAACGCUGGCGGUAGGCCUAACACAUGCAAGUCGAACGGCAGCACAGUAAGAGCUUGCUCUUACGGGUGGCGAGUGGCGGACGGGUGAGGAAUACAUCGGAAUCUACUUUUUCGUGGGGGAUAACGUAGGGAAACUUACGCUAAUACCGCAUACGACCUACGGGUGAAAGCAGGGGAGCUUCGGACCUUGCGCGAUUGAAUGAGCCGAUGUCGGAUUAGCUAGUUGGCGGGGUAAAGGCCCACCAAGGCGACGAUCCGUAGCUGGUCUGAGAGGAUGAUCAGCCACACUGGAACUGAGACACGGUCCAGACGCCUGCGGGAGGCAGCAGUGGGGAAUAUUGGACAAUGGGCGCAAGCCUGAUCCAGCCAUACCGCGUGGGUGAAGAAGGCCUUCGGGUUGUAAAGACCUUUUGUUGGGAAAGAAAAGCAGCAGGUUAAUACCCCGCUGUUCUGACGGUACCCAAAGAAUAAGCACCGGCUAACUUCGUG
rnacentral:rRNA from 1 species